rnacentral:rRNA from 1 species
CACGGGGGGGAGCAAGCGUUGUUCGGAAUCACUGGGCGUAAAGGGCGUGUAGGCGGUUUGGUAAGUGGGAUGUGAAAUGCCUCGGCUCACCCGAGGACCGGCAUCCCAAACUGCCAGCUUGAGUAUGGGAGAGGAUGGUGGGAAUUCCUGGUGUAGCGGUGAAAUGCGUAGAUAUCAGGAGGAACACCGGUGGCGAAGGCGCACAUCUGGCCCAAUACUGACGCUGAGGCGCGAAAGCUAGGGGAGCAAACAGG